rnacentral:rRNA from 1 species
CUAAGCACUAAAAUCUUUUGAUUAAAACUUAAAGAGCAUGGCGGCCGCCAAAAACUUCAGGGGAACUUACCAGGUAAUAGAUAACCCACAAGAUUAUACUACUUAACGUUAACAGUUUGCAUACCGCCGUUUUCAGGUCCCGCUUGUGGUGGUACCAAAAAGCAAAAAGCAAGAAGACAGGUCAUGGCGCAGCCUAUGGUUAAGACUUAAGGUGAGUUACAAUAAAUAUUUUUUUCGGACUUAGAACUAACACUUCUUUCAAAGAUGGACUUGAAAGUAAUUUUUAUAAAACAAAAAUAUAAGCUGAAUUUAUCUUUUUUGUGGUGC